CCGCUUGUGCGGGCCCCCGUCAAUUCCUUUGAGUUUCAGCCUUGCGGCCGUACUCCCCAGGCGGAAUGCUUAAUGCGUUAGCUGCAGCACUGAAGGGCGGAAACCCUCCAACACUUAGCAUUCAUCGUUUACGGUAUGGACUACCAGGGUAUCUAAUCCUGUUUGCUACCCAUACUUUCGAGCCUCAGCGUCAGUUACAGACCAGACAGCCGCCUUCGCCACUGGUGUUCUUCCAUAUAUCUACGCAUUUCACCGCUACACAUGGAGUUCCACUGUCCUCUUCUGCACUCAAGUUUCCCAGUUUCCGAUGCACUUCUUCGGUUGAGCCGAAGGCUUUCACAUCAGACUUAAAAAACCGCCUGCGCUCGCUUUACGCCCAAUAAAUCCGGACAACGCUUGCCACCUACGUAUUACCGCGGCUGCUGGCACGUAGUUAGCCGUGGCUUUCUGGUUAAAUACCGUCAAUACCUGAACAGUUACUCUCAGAUAUGUUCUUCUUUAACAACAGAGUUUUACGAGCCGAAACCCUUCUUCACUCACGCGGCGUUGCUCCAUCAGACUUUCGUCCAUUGUGGAAGAUUCCCUACUGCUGCCUCCCGUAGGAGUUUGGGCCGUGUCUCAGUCCCAAUGUGGCCGAUUACCCUCUCAGGUCGGCUACGUAUCAUUGCCAUGGUGAGCCGUUACCUCACCAUCUAGCUAAUACGCCGCGGGACCAUCCAAAAGUGAUAGCCGAAGCCAUCUUUCAAACUCGGACCAUGCGGUCCAAGUUGUUAUGCGGUAUUAGCAUCUGUUUCCAGGUGUUAUCCCCCGCUUCUGGGCAGGUUUCCCACGUGUUACUCACCAGUUCGCCACUCACUCAAAUGUAAUUCAUGAUGCAAGCACCAAUCAUUACCAGAGUUCGUUCGACUGCAUAAUAG
rnacentral:rRNA from 1 species